UACGGGGGGGGUAAGCGUUGUUCGGAAUUACUGGGCGUAAAGGGCGCGUAGGCGGCACUGUUAGUCAGGCGUGAAAGUCCUGGGCUCAACCUGGGAACUGCGAUUGAUACGGCAGAGCUAGAGGAUGGAAGAGGGUCGCGGAAUUCCCAGUGUAGAGGUGAAAUUCGUAGAUAUUGGGAAGAACACCGGUGGCGAAGGCGGCGACCUGGUCCAUUACUGACGCUGAGGCGCGACAGCGUGGGGAGCAAACAGG
rnacentral:rRNA from 1 species